UACAGAGGGUGCAAGCGUUAAUCGGAAUUACUGGGCGUAAAGCGUGCGUAGGUGGUUUGUUAAGUUGGAUGUGAAAUCCCCGGGCUCAACCUGGGAACUGCAUUCAAAACUGACAAGCUAGAGUAUGGUAGAGGGUGGUGGAAUUUCCUGUGUAGCGGUGAAAUGCGUAGAUAUAGGAAGGAACACCAGUGGCGAAGGCGACCACCUGGACUGAUACUGACACUGAGGUGCGAAAGCGUGGGGAGCAAACAGG
rnacentral:rRNA from 1 species